rnacentral:rRNA from 1 species
GUUGAUCCUGCGGGAGAUUGCUGCUAUUAGAGUUCGACUAAGCCAUGCAUGUCACGGGAGUCUUCGGACGAACCGGCAAAAUGCUCAGUAACACGUCGGUAAUCUGCCCUUAGGUCAGGGAUAGUCUUGGGAAACUGAGUUUAAACCCUGAUAAGAGAUAUCAUCUGGAAAGAGAUAUCUUCUAAAAGCAAUGCCUUUGGAUGAGCCGGCGGCGGAUUAGGUUGUUGGUGGUGUAAAGGACCACCAAGCCCGAGAUCCGUAGGGGCCUUGAGAGAGGUAGCCCCGAGAAGGACACUGAGAUACUGGUCCUAGCCCUACGGGGUGCAGCAGGCGCGAAACCUUUACAAUGCACGAAAGUGUGAUAAGGGAACUCUAAGUGCUCAUGUUCUACAUGGGCUUUUGCCAAGAGUAAAAAUCUUGGCGAAUAAGUGGUGGGCAAGACUGGUGCCAGCAGCCGCGGUAACACCAGCGCCACUAGUGGGAAUCGUAUUUAUUGGGCCUAAAGCGUCCGUAGCUGGUUGUGUAAAUCUUUUGUGAAAUCGUUGGGCUUAACUUAACGGCGCGCAGAAGACACUGCACAACUUGGAACCAGGAGGAGUCAGCAGUAUGUCUGGGGGAGCGGUAAAAUGCUAUAAUCCUAGAUAGACUACCUGUGGCGAAGGCGGCUGACUAGAAUGGAUUCGACAGUGAGGGACGAAGGCCAGGGGAGCGAACCGGAUUAGAUACCCGAGUAGUCCUGGCAGUAAACUCUGCGAGUUAGGUGUUGCAUAUUCUACGUGAAUAUGCAGUAUCGUAGCGAAGGCGUUAAACUCGCCGCCUGGGAAGUACGGUCGCAAGACUGAAACUUAAAGGAAUUGGCGGGGGAGCACUACAAGGGGUGCGGCGUGCGGUUUAAUUUAACUCCACUCAGAGAAUCUCACCAGCAGCGACGGCAGGAUGAAAGUCAGAUUGAAGGUUUUACUUGACGAGCCGAGAGGUGCUGCAUGGCCGCCGUCAGCUCGUGCCGUAAGGUGUCCGGUUAAGUCCGGUAACGAGCGAGACCUGCGUCUACAAUUGCUAACGGGUCCUUCAGGAUGACUGAGCACAUUGUGGAGACUGCCUUGGAAACAAGGAGGAGGGUGCAGGCUACGGUAGGUCUGUAUGGCCCGAUCUGCUGGGCUACACGCGCGCAACAAUGGUAGGGACAAUGGGAUGCAACUCCGAAAGGAGAAGCUAAUCCUCUAAACCCUAUCUAAGUCCAGAUUGAGGAUUGUAACUCAUCCUCAUGACGUUGGAAUCCCUAGUAAUUGGAUGUUAUCAGCGUCCAGUGAAUAUGUCCCUGCUCCUUGUACACACCGCCCGUCAAACCACUCGAGCAGGGUUUAGGUGAGUCUUAGUUUAAUUGACUGAGUCGAACCUAAGCUCAGUGAGAUGGGUUAAGUCGUCACAAGGUA